AUUGAACGCUGGCGGCAGGCCUAACACAUGCAAGUCGAGCGAGCGGCGGACGGGUGAGUAAUGUCUGGGAAACUGCCUGAUGUAGUGGGAUAACUACUGGAAACGGUAGCUAAUACCGCAUACCAUCAGAUUUGCCCAGAGGGGAUUAGCUAGUAGGUGGGGUAACGGCUCACCUAGGCGACGAUCCCUACCUGGUCUGAGAGGAUGACCAGCCACACUGGAACUGAGACACGGUCCAGACUCCUAGGGGAGGCAGCAGUGGGGAAUAUUGCACAAUGGGCGGAAGCCUGAUGCAGCCAUGCCGCGUGUGUGAAGAAGGCCUUCGGGUUGUAAAGCACUUUCAGCGGGGAGGCGUUACCCGCAGAAGAAGCACCGGCUAACUCCGUGCCAGCCGCCGCGGUAAUAC
rnacentral:rRNA from 1 species